GCCUACGUGCGGCAGCAGUGAGGAAUAUUGGUCAAUGGGCGCGAGCCUGAACCAGCCAAGUAGCGUGAAGGAUGACUGUCCUACGGGUUGUAAACUUCUUUUAUAAAGGAAUAAAGUGAGGCACGUGGGCCUCUUUGUAUGAACUUUAUGAAUAAGGAUAGGCUAACUCCGGGCAAGCAGCCGCGGUAAUACGGAGGAUCCGAGCGUUAUCCGGAGUCAUUGGGUUUAAAGGUAGCGUAGAUGGGUUGUUAAGUCAGUUGUGAAAGUUUGCGGCUCAACCGUAAAAUUGCAAUUGAUACUGGCAGCCUUGAGUACAGUUGAGGUAGGCGGAAUUCGUGGUGUAGCGGUGAAAUGCUUAGAUAUCACGAAGAACUCCGAUUGCGAAGGCAGCCUACUAAACUGCCACUGACAUUGAUGCUCGAAAGUGUGGGUAUCAAACAGGAUUAGAUACCCCUGGUAGUC
rnacentral:rRNA from 1 species